UACGUAGGUGGCAAGCGUUGUCCGGAUUUACUGGGCGUAAAGCGUGCGUAGACGGUUAUGUAAGUCAGAUGUGAAAGCCCCGGGCUCAACCUGGGAAUGGCAUUUGAGACUGCAUAGCUAGGAUGCGGAAGAGGGAAGUGGAAUUUCCGGUGUAGCGGUGAAAUUCGUAGAUAUUCGCAAGAACACCAGUGGCGAAGGCGGCUUCCUGGACCGACACUGACGCUGAGGCGCGAAAGCUAGGGGAGCAAACGGG
rnacentral:rRNA from 1 species